rnacentral:rRNA from 1 species
ACCGCGUGGGUCACCCUUCCGGCUCGUCCGGAGGGGGGGCUUGCGUUUUCACACAAACUCGAUACAGUGUAGAGUGUCUUUUGCGAUAACACGCAAUCAAUACAACUUUCAACAACGGAUCUCUUGGCUCUCGCAUCGAUGAAGAACGCAGCGAAAUGCGAUACGUAAUGUGAAUUGCAGAAUUCAGUGAAUCAUCGAGUCUUUGAACGCACCUUGCGCCCCUUGGCAUUCACGAGGGGCACACCCGUUUGAGUGUCGUGAAAUUCUCAAAAGCCUUUCUUUUGAAAGGGUUUUGGACUUGGAGGCUUUUUGCUGGCUUUCACCUCGAAGCGAGCUCCUCCCAAAGGAAUUAGUGGGGUCCGCUUUGCCGAUCCUUGACGUGAUAAGAUGCUUCUACGUCUCGGAUUUGGCGAUGCCUCUUGGGCACCUGCUUCUAACCGUCCUCAUGGACAAUGAUGGCGUCCCGGUCACCACCGUUUCAUCGGUCGGGAGGCNUGGCCCACCAAAAAAACCUUGACCUCAAAUCGGGUGAGACU